rnacentral:rRNA from 1 species
UACAGAGGGUGCGAGCGUUGUCCGGAAUCACUGGGCGUAAAGGGCGCGUAGGCGGCCUGAUAAGUAGGGGGUGAAAUCCUGUGGCUUAACUGCAGGCUGCCUCCUAGACUGUUAGGCUCGAGCACGGUAGAGGCAGAUGGAAUUCCCGGUGUAGCGGUGGAAUGCGUAGAGAUCGGGAAGAACAUCGGUGGCGAAGGCGGUCUGCUGGGCCGUUGCUGACGCUGAGGCGCGAAAGCGUGGGGAGCGAACAGG